rnacentral:lncRNA from 1 species
GCACCAAGGAGGAGCCCAGACCAGGACCACUCUCCCCACGUGGCUGAGGGGACCCGUGUCCAAGAUCAUCAGCACCAAGGAGGAGCCCAGACCAGGACCACUCUCCCCACGUGGCUGAGGGGACCCGUGUCCAAGAUGGUCAGCACCGAGGACAAGCCCAUAGCAGCACUGCCGUCCCCACCGGGCUGUACGGAGAUGGACAGAAUUGGCCCAGACCCGUGGCCUGGGAGCAGCACCCAGUAAACGCACGGCAUCUAGAAAGGGGAGGGAGGGCGCUGCUGUUCUGGGGCAUUUUCUCCGUUUCCCCCAGGGCUGCCCCGGUUCCACGGCCGUGCUUGGCUCGCCGCAGGCGGGUUGGUGCGGCGACCUGCACCGGCUGCAGCUGCGCCGGAGGCUGGCGGAGCCGCACGCUUGGGUCACCGAUGCCGUCGGAGCUGGGGAGAAUCACAAGGAAAACAGCUAGAAUGGUUCUGAAAUCUCUGAUGGAAGCAGCCUGAGAAAGGCUAUUGCGGUUCCUGCACAUUUCCUGAAAAAGAGAGGUUUACUGCAUUUUCCUGCUCUCGUGACUGUGUUUCCAGGUUGCUGCUAACCCCAGGCACGCUGCGGUGGGAAGCUGCUGGCGCAGUGAGAAAUCCACCACUGUUCAGCAUUCCUGAAACACACCUUCGUUAUUAGGGCAGGUUUUGUAUGUGAUUAAUGAAUUUUGUUCACUAUUCAUCAUCAGUAAAUCUAUGUGCUGGAAGGGAACCUGUAAACUGAGGAGAAACUCCUUGCUGGAGGCAUCACUGUGAAGUUAGCAAGCAGGUAUCUGUAUGCGACGUGAGCUGCACAAAAAGGCACGCAUCUCUCUGCGGCCGCUGGAAGUUGCACCCGGCUUUCUUCCCUAUCAUCCUUUGACAGUUCUGAGGCCAAAACAGGACUGGUCUUUCCAGGACGCUUACUAGCAUUUUCAGGCAAAACUGGGCUUUUCUGUGGAUAUUUGCUCACGAGCAGAACAGCUGCCAUUAAAAAAAGGUAUAUUUCCUACCUACUGCUUCCUAGUUGUGUAUUCUAAAACGAGGGGGGAAUUUUGAAAUUA